rnacentral:rRNA from 1 species
AUUGAACGCUAGCGGCAUGCUUAACACAUGCAAGUCGAACGAGUGGCGGACGGGUGAGUAAUGUCUGGGAAACUGCCCGAUGGAGGGGGAUAACUACUGGAAACGGUAGCUAAUACCGCAUACCAUCGGAUGUGCCCAGAUGGGAUUAGCUAGUAGGUGGGGUAAAGGCUCACCUAGGCGACGAUCCCUAGCUGGUCUGAGAGGAUGACCAGCCACACUGGAACGGCGACACGGUCCAGACGCCUACGGGAGGCAGCAGUGGGGAAUAUUGCACAAUGGGCGCAAGCCUGAUGCAGCCAUGCCGCGUGUAUGAAGAAGGCCUUCGGGUUGUAAAGUACUUUCAGCGGGGAGGCGUUACCCGCAGAAGAAGCACCGGCUAACUCCGUGCCAGCAGCCGCGGUAAUUC